rnacentral:rRNA from 1 species
GAUGAACGCUGGCGGCGUGCCUAAUACAUGCAAGUCGAGCGAACGGACGAGAAGCUUGCUUCUCUGAUGUUAGCGGCGGACGGGUGAGUAACACGUGGAUAACCUACCUAUAAGACUGGGAUAACUUCGGGAAACCGGAGCUACUACCGGAUGAUAUUUUGAACCGCAUGGUUCAAAAGUGAAAGACGGUCUUGCUGUCACUUAUAGAUGGAUCCGCGCUGCAUUAGCUAGUUGGUAAUGUAACGGCUUACCAAGGCAACGAUGCAUAGCCGACCUGAGAGGGUGAUCGGCCACACUGGAACUGAGACACGGUCCAGACUCCUACGGGAGGCAGCAGUAGGGAAUCUUCAGCAAUGGGCGAAAGCCUGACGGAGCAACGCCGCGUGAGUGAUGAAGGUCUUCGGAUCGUAAAACUCUGUUAUUAGGGAAGAACAUAUGUGUAAGUAACUGUGCACAUCUUGACGGUACCUAAUGAGAAAGCCACGGCUAACUACGUG